rnacentral:rRNA from 1 species
CCCCAGUAAACGGCGGCCGUAACUAUAACGGUCCUAAGGUAGCGAAAUUCCUUGUCGGGUAAGUUCCGACCCGCACGAAAGGCGUAACGAUUUGGGCACUGUCUCAACAACAGACUCGGUGAAAUUGUAAUUCCGGUGAAGAUGCCGGAUACCUGCGACAGGACGGAAAGACCCCAUGGAGCUUUACUGUAGCUUGACAUUGGGUCUUGGUACUACAUGUACAGGAUAGGUGGGAGGCUUUGAAACCAGGACGCCAGUUUUGGCGGAGCCAUCCUUGGGAUACCACCCUUGUAGUACUGGGACUCUAACCAUAGGCCAUGAAUCUGGUCUUGGGACACUGUCAGGUGGGCAGUUUGACUGGGGCGGUCGCCUCCCAAAAGGUAACGGAGGCGCUCAAAGGUUCUCUCAGUACGGUCGGAAAUCGUACGUAGAGUGUAAAGGCAAAAGAGAGCUUGAUUGCAAGACAUACAGGUCGAGCAAGGAUGAAAAUCGGACUUAGUGAUCCGGUGGUUCUGCGUGGAAGGGCCAUCGCUCAACGGAUAAAAGCUACCCUGGGGAUAACAGGCUUAUCUCCCCCAAGAGUCCACAUCGACGGGGAGGUUUGGCACCUCGAUGUCGGCUCAUCACAUCCUGGGGCUGUAGUAGGUCCCAAGGGUUGGGCUGUUCGCCCAUUAAAGUGGUACGCGAGCUGGGUUCAGAACGUCGUGAGACAGUUCGGUCCCUAUCCGUCGCAGGCGUAGGAAAUUUGAGAAGACCUGUCCUUAGUACGAGAGGACCGGGAUGGACGUACCU